rnacentral:rRNA from 1 species
CUUAGGACCGUUAUAGUUACGGCCGCCGUUUACUGGGGCUUCAGUUCAGAGCUUCGCUUACGCUAACCCCUCUCCUUAACCUUCCAGCACCGGGCAGGUGUCAGCCCCUUAUACUUCGCCUUACGGCUUCGCAGAGACCUGUGUUUUGGCUAAGCAGUCGCUUGGUCCUAUUCACUGCGGCUUUCAGUUACGAAAGCACCCCUUCUCCCGAGGUUACGGAGUCAUUUUGCCGAGUUCCUUAGCCAGAGUUCUCUCGUACACCUUAGGAUUCUCUCCUCGCCUACCUGUGUCGGUU